CCUACGGGUGGCAGCAGUGAGGAAUAUUGGUCAAUGGACGCAAGUCUGAACCAGCCAUGUCGCGUGCAGGAUGACUGCUCUAUGAGUUGUAAACUUCUUUUAUACGAGAGUAAACCCAGGUACGUGUGUCUGUUCGAAAGUAUCUUACGAAUAAGGAUCGGCUAACUCCGUGCCAGCAGCCGCGGUAAUACGGAGGAUCCGAGCGUUAUCCGGAUUUAUUGGGUUUAAAGGGUGCGUAGGCGGGUUGUUAAGUCAGUGGUGAAAUUUUGUGGCUCAACCGCAAAAUUGCAAUUGAUACUGUUAGUCUAGAGAAUAGUUGAGGUAGGCGGAAUGUAUGGUGUAGCGGUGAAAUGCUUAGAGAUCAUAAAGAACACCGAUUGCGAAGGCAGCUUACCAAACUACCUCUGACAUUGAGGCACGAAAGCGUGGGUAGCAAACAGGAUUAGAUACCCGGGUAGUC
rnacentral:rRNA from 1 species